GCAUCAAUGGGGUAGUGGUAACCUGGGUCGUUGCCAUCAUGUUUCGAAAGCAUAAUUGUGUCAUAUCGACCCGCCGGGGGUUCAAUUCCCCCUUGAUGCA